rnacentral:rRNA from 1 species
CAAUAGCGUAUAUUAAAGUUGUUGCAGUUAGAAAGCUCGUAGUUGGAUUUGUGGCUUUCGCGUGCGGCCCGGCAUUCGUGCCGGUGUUUGCUAGCGUCGCCAUCCUUGGGUGGAAUCUGUGUGGCAUUAGGUUGUCGUGCAGGGGAUGCCCAUCGUUUACUGUGAAAAAAUUAGAGUGUUCAAAGCAGGCUUAUGCCGUUGAAUAUAUUAGCAUGGAAUAAUAAGAUAGGACCUUGGUACUAUUUUGUUGGUUUGCGCACCAAGGUAAUGAUUAAUAGGGACAGUUGGGGGUAUUCGUAUUCCAUUGUCAGAGGUGAAAUUCUUGGAUUUUUGGAAGACGAACUACUGCGAAAGCAUUUACCAAGGAUGUUUUCAUUA